CUUUGACUUUCUCUACGUGCAUAACAGCAACUAUUAUAAUGUUUUAGAGAUGUUUCUCUUUUGUCCUGCGUCUUUCUGUUAAGCCUCCAUCUUGUGCCAGCUUUUGGUGUUUUUUGUUUCCAGUUUCCUCGUUCUCGCUCGCUUCAAUCAGCUCAGCUCAACCAUCCUAUUCGAAGCUUAUUGUUCAGGUAAAGCAAUCUCCCCUUUACUUAUUUGUUCCUCAUCUGCUUAGUGCUUAGUCUAUUCUACUUCGUUGUGUUUUAUUUUCUAUGUUUGUUAUCGUUUUGCUUAUUAAAUGGUAAUCAUCUCUUUCAUUCACGUUUGUUUUGUCUGCUUCGAGAAACUUUAGAUGAUUUGAUUGUUAUUGUUGGAUGUCAUGGAUAACAGAAUUUUCUUAAUUUUAACUACAAUUGCAUAUGGGUCGGAAACGUAAAUUUUCCUCAGAAAAUGAAUAUCGUUUAGAAAAAAGCCGUCGUGAUCGUACAAGAUAUAUUAGAAAAAUAGUUCGACAUAAAAAGGCAGCUCUUUUGCCUAUUGAACCCCAGAGUAACGCAGGUUUUACCUAUGACCACUGCUCCUCAGACAAGAUAUAUUAGAAAAAUAGUUCGACAUAAAAAGGCAGCUCUUUUGCCUAUUGAACCCCAGAGUAACGCAGGUUUUACCUAUGACCACUGCUCCUCAGACAACUGAGCACAAUCUUUUUGAUGUUCCUGUUCAUCAUGAUUUGCCAGCUAAACAUGCAGUCGGCUGUUUCUGUUUGGAUUUGCCUGUGUUUUCACUUCCAGAUAACAUAGAUAUUCCAUCAACUUCAACUGUGUCUAGCAUUGAUCCAUGUAUUAUUCUUCCCUUAUUCUUAUGUGCUCUUUUUUUUUGUGUCGUUUUUUUGCUGACCUAUAGCAGGCUUGAUCAUCUUGUUAAUUUUUUAUUCAUAUAGUUUGUCCAGCUAUAAACGAUGAUUCAAUUUCACAGAGUUUGUUUAAUUCAGCUUCGUCACAUGUUCAUGUACACCAAUUUCCUCUUCCUCCUCAUUCAGCCUCAAACUCAUCCAUAAACGAAGGAUCUAAUAUAGCAACAUCUUCAAACCUUCGACCGGGUAUCUUAUCAAUUUUCAAUCUUGC